AUUGAACGCUGGCGGCAGGCCUAACACAUGCAAGUCGAGCGGAGUUGCGGACGGGUGAGUAAUGCCUAGGAAUCUGCCUGGUACUGGGGGAUGACGUCCGGCAACGGGCGGUAAUAUCGUAUACUUUAAGUUGAGCCUAGGUCGGAUUAGCUAGUUGGUGGGGUAAAGGCCUACCAAGGCGACGAUCCGUAACUGGGCUGAGAGGACGAUCAGUCAGACUGGAACUGGGACACGGUGCAGACUCCUACGGGAGGCAGCAGUGGUGAAUAUUGGACAAUGGGCGAAAGCCGGAUGCAGCCAUGCCGGGUGUGUGAAGAAGGUCUUCGGGUUGUAAAGUACUUUCAGCGGGGAGGCGUUACCCGCAGAAGAAGCACCGGCUAACUCCGUGCCAGCAGCCGCGGUAAUAC
rnacentral:rRNA from 1 species